AGUGGGGAAUAUUGCACAAUGGGCGCAAGCCUGAUGCAGCGACGCCGCGUGGGGGAUGACGGCCUUCGGGUUGUAAACUCCUUUCGCUAGGGACGAAGCGUUUUUGUGACGGUACCUGGAGAAGAAGCACCGGCUAACUACGUGCCAGCAGCCGCGGUAAUACGUAGGGUGCGAGCGUUGUCCGGAAUUACUGGGCGUAAAGAGCUCGUAGGUGGUUUGUCGCGUCGUUUGUGUAAGCCCGCAGCUUAACUGCGGGACUGCAGGCGAUACGGGCAUAACUUGAGUGCUGUAGGGGAGACUGGAAUUCCUGGUGUAGCGGUGGAAUGCGCAGAUAUCAGGAGGAACACCGAUGGCGAAGGCAGGUCUCUGGGCAGUAACUGACGCUGAGGAGCGAAAGCAUGGGUAGCGAA
rnacentral:rRNA from 1 species